rnacentral:rRNA from 1 species
GAUGAACGCUGACAGAAUGCUUAACACAUGCAAGUCUACUUGAUCCUUCGGGUGAUGGUGGCGGACGGGUGAGUAACGCGUAAAGAACUUGCCCUGCAGUCUGGGACAACAUUUGGAAACGAAUGCUAAUACCGGAUAUUAUGCGAGAUUCGCAUGUUUCUCGUAUGAAAGCUAUAUGCGCUGCAGGAGAGCUUUGCGUCCUAUUAGCUAGUUGGUGAGGUAACGGCUCACCAAGGCGAUGAUAGGUAGCCGGCCUGAGAGGGUGAACGGCCACAAGGGGACUGAGACACGGCCCUUACUCCUACGGGAGGCAGCAGUGGGGAAUAUUGGACAAUGGACCAAAAGUCUGAUCCAGCAAUUCUGUGUGCACGAUGAAGUUUUUCGGAAUGUAAAGUGCUUUCAGUUGGGACGAAGUAAGUGACGGUACCAACAGAAGAAGCGACGGCUAAAUACGUGCCAGCAGCCGCGGUAAUACGUAUGUCGCAAGCGUUAUCCGGAUUUAUUGGGCGUAAAGCGCGUCUAGGCGGUUUGGUAAGUCUGAUGUGAAAAUGCGGGGCUCAACUCCGUAUUGCGUUGGAAACUGUCAAACUAGAGUACUGGAGAGGUGGGCGGAACUACAAGUGUAGAGGUGAAAUUCGUAGAUAUUUGUAGGAAUGCCGAUGGGGAAGCCAGCCCACUGGACAGAUACUGACGCUAAAGCGCGAAAGCGUGGGUAGCAAACAGGAUUAGAUACCCUGGUAGUCCACGCCGUAAACGAUGAUUACUAGGUGUUGGGGGUCGAACCUCAGCGCCCAAGCUAACGCGAUAAGUAAUCCGCCUGGGGAGUACGUACGCAAGUAUGAAACUCAAAGGAAUUGGCGGGGACCCGCACAAGCGGUGGAGCAUGUGGUUUAAUUCGACACAACGCGAGGAACCUUACCAGCGUUUGACAUCCUAGGAAGUUGGCAGAGAUGCCUUUGUGCCCCUUCGGGGGAACCUAGUGACAGGUGGUGCAUGGCUGUCGUCAGCUCGUGUCGUGAGAUGUUGGGUUAAGUCCCGCAACGAGCGCAACCCCUUUCGCAUGUUGCCAUCAUUAAGUUGGGAACUCAUGCGAUACUGCCUGCGAUGAGCAGGAGGAAGGUGGGGAUGACGUCAAGUCAUCAUGCCCCUUAUACGCUGGGCUACACACGUGCUACAAUGGGUAGUACAGAGAGUCGCUAACCUGCGAGGGGGAGCUAAUCUCAGAAAACUAUUCUCAGUUCGGAUUGUACUCUGCAACUCGAGUACAUGAAGUUGGAAUCGCUAGUAAUCGCAAAUCAGCUAUGUUGCGGUGAAUACGUUCUCGGGUCU